GAGAGCCGGAUGAUCAGUAAACUAUCAAGUCCGGUUCGGUGGGAGGCCGAGUGGAAAAGGACCAGCACACCGCUGGAACCUCGCCGCUCGGCCGACCCUAC
rnacentral:ncRNA from 1 species